UGAUUUAGCCUAAAUCUUUUGGGAUAAGGUAUCAAGGAGGGUGAGAAUCCCGUCUGGUUAGAUCAAGAUGCCUUACGAUACGUUUUCUAAGAGUCGAGUUGUUUGGGAAUGCAGCUCAAAAUGGGAGGUAAAUUUCUCCUAAGGCUAAAUAAAGGCGAGAGACCGAUAGCGAACAAGUACCGUGAGGGAAAGAUGAAAAGAACUUUGAAAAGAGAGUUAAACAGUACGUGAAAUUGUUGAAAGGGAAACGAUUGAAGUCAGUCGUACCGACGAGGAAUCAACCUUUUGAGGGUGGAUAUGUGGGAUUCAAAGUGCCUUUGUUUAUCGCAUCAUCUGCUUUUUUUGGGCGUACUUUUUCGUAUGGUAGGUUAACAUCGGUUUUGAUCGUUAUAAAAUGACUGGAGGAAUGUAGCUUUGAUCUUGUAUUGAAGUGUUAUAGCCUUUGGUAGAUGUAACGGUUAGGAUCGAGGAUUGCAAUGGAUACCCUCAUGGGCUAUCCGCCUGGCCUCUGAUUUGUCACUUUGGUGCUGAAAGCGUGCUUAUGGUAUUAAAGUGUACGGUCAAAAGGUUAGAACGGAAUAAAUUCAUUAAGGAUGUUGACGUAAUGGCUUUAAACGACCCGUCUUGAAACACGGACCAAGGAGUCUAACAUAUAUGCGAGUGUUUGGGCGAAAAAACCCUUACGCAUAAUAAAGGUAAUUUAGGUGGGACCCAUUUUAUUGGAGCACCAUCGACC
rnacentral:rRNA from 1 species